GGCCUGAUAGUUCAGUGGUAGAAUUCUUGCUUUGGGUGUAAGAGGGUGAGUUUAAUGAGUUCCGAAUGUAUCUUCAGCUUUCUAACAGCCUGUAAAGUCUCCGGUUCGAUCCCGGAUUAGGCCC